GCUCUGGAUAAGCAUUUGUAAAAUAUCCAGGGGAAAUGGAUGCCGGCAAAGGCUCUGCUGAGUGGGAGUGGGUGUACCAAAAUGUAUGUGUCAGGAUGAGAAAUGUAUUUCUUGGGAAGGACAUGGAGAACUGGCUGCUUCCCAGCACACAGCUCCUCCUGGGGCUCUUCCUGUGGGAGCUUUCUGCAUUUUUUUUUAACACAUGGGCUAUCUCCCCAGUCCACUCUUCUGAGUAGAAACUAAUCUGUGUUUUGGGAGAGAGUUGUUUCUCAUUAACUCUCUGAACAGGGAAAAAAUAACCUCCACUCCCUGUAGUGGGAAUUGCACAAGUCAAAAUUUUACAUUCCCUUCUCCAGACUCCAAAGUCAUUCCUGGAAGGAUGAGCUGUGGGUCAGAGAGGGGCUGUGCCCUCCUGCCACACCUGCUGUGACAGCUGCUAGGUCUGGCUGUCAAUCUGAAUGCAUGAUGAGAGCCGAGUAAAACUGCAGUCAUGGCCUGAGCAGGGAUACCCAAAAUUAACAUCAAGAGGAAAGGAGGGAGUUUUCCAAAUACAGCCUGCAAACCUUUAAUUCUGUGUGACAGUGAUACCGUGAGCCAGGAAAUCUCUAGCAUCAGUGUUGCUGCAGUAAUGGAAGCAGUUGAUUCUGUGGGAAGAUGAAGGUUUGAUGGAAGUUGGGUAGAACAAAAUCAUGUUUCUUCAGUAUAUAAAAUGAAGCUGGCAGCCUGGUUUUGUACUUCAGCUUCCCAAAGAAACAAGCAAGCAUAAAACAAGAAGAUACACUGCCUACUAAAAUGUCCCACUUAUUAAAAAACCCACAAUAAAAUCCUC